rnacentral:rRNA from 1 species
CCUGCGGAAGGAUCAUUAUUGAAAUACUCAAGGAGAGUGCUGUUGCUGGGGGUUUUUUACAAAGGACAAAUGGGCACGCCUUUUCUGUCCAUUUCUUUCAAAAACCUGUGAACCUCUUGUAGGCCAAGAAAUUGGCCUAUGUUUCUCUUAUCACAAACCCCUUUGCAUGUUGCAUGAACGUUUUAUUCGUAAAAGUUAAUAUAAAACAACUUUCAACAACGGAUCUCUUGGCUCUCGCAUCGAUGAAGAACGCAGCGAAAUGCGAUAAGUAAUGUGAAUUGCAGAAUUCAGUGAAUCAUCGAAUCUUUGAACGCACCUUGCGCUCCUUGGUAUUCCGAGGAGCAUGCCUGUUUGAGUGUCACAAACUUCUCAACCUUGCAACGUUUGAUUGUUGUCCAAGGCUUGGAUUGUGGAGGUUCUGCCGGACUUUGUCAAAAGUUAGGCUCCUCUGAAAUGCAUCAGCAGACUUUUUUCUUUGCUGGCUUUGGNUUGAUAAAAAUCUAUCUAUGUCAUCGCCAUUCUGUAAACGAAAAGGAGUAGGCUUACAAUCGUCCUCGGACAAAAAACACUUGACGCUUUGACCUCAAAUCAGGUAGGACUACCCGCUGAACUUAAGCAUAUCAAUAAGCGGAGGAAAAGAAACUAACAAGGAUUCCCGUAGUAACGGCGAGUGAAGUGGGAAAAGCUCAAAUUUGAAAUCUGGCAGCCUAUCUUUGGCUUGUCCGA